rnacentral:lncRNA from 1 species
UAAAGAUUCACACCCUUUUCCACAAAAGCGUGUUGCAGUAUUGAUUCAUAAUGCUCUUAACUUGAAAAUAAUAGACAGAUAGCUGGUCACGUGAUAGUUCAAGGAGUCCUGGUAAUCUAGCUUCGACGCGGGUCGUAGAGACACUCCGUUUCGUUCUGGAAGCCAGCAGUCUGACAGAGCGCUUUUAACGGUGAUGCCGGACAGAAAACUUAAACGUUUAGUCAAUAUACGAACGUGUGAGAACGACCCAGUCACGGGUCGUCCUUUAAAUGACAAGAUUGCUGCUGCUACCUCACAGGGGGUGAAGGGCAAAUGGCAUUGGUACGAUUGCCCGAGCCGUUCCUUGAGGUUUAGCCUUAGGUCCGAGAUGUCAUAAUGGUAGAACGAGUGAAUGUUUAUGUAAUGGAGCCGUCAUGGCGCCCAUAUUAUUGGGCAAGAAAUUGUUUCUUUGCUCAAACGUAAUUCUGCCGGUGAUUUAUUUGCUUCGGCCAUUAUACUGGAGGACGUUCCGUAGAGCGAUUCAUAAGAUUCAGAAGACCACUCGAAUACCCUUAUCAGGAUCAUGUUUUCGACUAGACCACUGAAUAUUUUUAGUUGAUGUUGAACCUACUUGCGCGUUUUUUUCACUAAAGUGAUAAAAGAUAUAGUACUAGAAUACUGUUGUUUUUAUGUUUUUAUUGCUUACUUUUAUUUUAUUUUAUAACCUAUGUUUUCAAUGCUGAAAAUUGUGACAUGUUUUUUUUUCUUAGAACUAGAAAAACUGACUACUCCAACCAAAGAGCGUAGGUAGGAGUAGCAUAAAUGUGAAUUUCAGGUAACCCAGAAGGAGAGUGGUGCGUCGUGGAAGUAGCCACGUCUGUAAAUACGAAGGGUUUAUAUAUUCGUGUGUUUUCUUAAAACCAAUAAUUUCUAGUAAAUUGCGAUUUCCAUAUCUACACAGAUCCGUAUUUACCACGCUUACUACGACAUGCAGCCUAAACAUAAACGAACUAAGGUAAUAAUGAAUAUUGGCUGUAUUAUAAUUAUUAUCAAUUGAGACACUUUUGUCUAACACAGAGGGAUUUUUUUAAGUGAGCCAUCUAUCAUUUAUCAAUAAUGAACUAAUAUAUUAUAAUCUUCGUCUUUCUGAUUCAAACAAGUUGUUUCAGUCUGUCUCCAUAUAAAAACAUCGUUCGUUGUAAGAAUCGUAUGAAAUUAACAUCGUAGCCUGUCGUCGCAAGCUUCGUCGCGGACCCCAUAUAAGAUGUCGUUGAAGACGAAUCACUCAAUGACAAGUAGUCAUUUAUGGGGAUCUAUUCACAAAUACCGUCAUAUGUCGAUAAUGAUCAAAGGGUGGUUCGUCCGCAAAACUCCUCGUAUCUCAUUGCAGUCGGAUCCAAAGGUUUGAAGCACGUUGCAGUCUAUUGGACAGUUAAACAAAGGACGCAGAUAGUCGGCCAGCUACUAGCACAAUAUAUCAUGAAAAAGACUAGAAGAAACCUACUACUAUAGUAGAAGAAGUUCAAGCACAAAAGAGUAUCGUAGCUAGCUUACUCGCUCAAAAUGUGAGAUUAAUGAUCGAAGAAUAUUUGGAAAAGACUCAAUCGGAUGUACUUGAUAGGUCCUUCAUCAGGAUUUAAGGAUAUAAGGAAGAGGCUUCGUAAGGCGACGAGCAGGUUUAUGGCUAAGUAUAAGUUGGACUUACAACGGGUACAAAGCAUGCAUUACUAGAUUGUUUCUGCGAUGCUGUAGCGGUACUACGCAUGCCCACUGAAAUAGGAAAUACGUGAAGUAAUCUAGGUUGAAAAACGGGCGGAAAUACUGUUUAUGUUGCACCGAAGGUCAGCCGUGCGACACACUGCCUAAUGGCGGUACCGAUGCAGCACACAAAGGGUUCAUUUGUGUACUAAAAAACCGCUCCAGGCCUACAAUUGGAACAGCUUGCGUUUGCACACCAUUCAAUGGCGUCCGUAAGACAUAACCGCGGCAGGAAAUGAGAUAAGAUGGCGGGAUGCUAUCGGAAAUGGUGGUGACCAAAAAGCGAACUCCUCUGUUGGGGCUGAUGACGCGACAGGAAGUGACGGACCCUUUAUCUAAGUAGAUGACAGCAUACGAUAGGUAGUAAUGGUGGUACCUUUCACAGGCGAUAAAAAUCAUGAUUACUCCACUAGAUAUCUACACACGAAUAAAUACUUUGACACGUUUAUUUUCAUACAACUUUGUUGAAUUUCAAAGCAAACAAAUAGAUCCAGCUGAUAGGUGCAAGCGAAAAAAAUCUACACGGUUCUUCUAGACUUUUCCCGUCACAAAUUGACCCGUACAUUGUCGAUGUUUGAACAGAUUUCUCGUCAGUCAGUCAGUCAGUCAGUCUCCUCUGCCUAAUCGACCAAAUGAAGCUCUAUUAUUCCUAUCGAUCUAGUCAAAUCUAUAACAUUACAAGGAACGAACAUUCCCACUUUAACCUAUAUAUCCCAUAUUCCCUCCUGAGUGUUUCGUUGUGCCGUCAUACAAAAACGCCACAUUGUAUAUAUGAAUAUCCUGCUAGAAUAAUAUUCAAGCAUGUUCUCGUCAGAGGAAAGAGUUUUUCUUGUUAUUGCGUGACCAUUUUUUGCUUAUGUUCAGUUAUACGCAGCUAAACUUGAGUCUUAUUUUUCCAAGAGGAACUUCUUAUUUCUGUACCGCUACGGAAGUGGUGGUCAAAAAGUUUCAAUUUCUAGCGUUGAUUCCACGUCUCUUCUUAGCGAUGGGUGUGCCCCGUUUCGUCUGGCCUCUGUUUAUGCACUGUUUCACAACCUCUAGUGGAGGAUACCGUCCGCGGCCGAAUUUCGAAGCUGACACUGGCCAUGCGAUCACUUCAAUGCAACCCAUCAUCCUGCCACAGCUUGGCCGUGGCUACGUCUGCUGUUGCUAUGUUUGGAAUAUCUUUGCAGUCAGGAUUUACGAGGUUACGAAAAGGGCUGCUUAAGGAAGUGAGUUAGUACUACAUGGCCCAUGUGCAACGUCGCUAUGACAUGCGAAGUCGUUGGAGCAGAUGCUCGCAACGGAAUAGGAGUAGCCCAACGGCCGGCUCAGUCAAACCAUAGCAACUGCAAGACAGCUAUCAGCGAUUCUGUGGAGGAAACAGCCGAACAGAUCGAAGCCUAUAUAUAUAUAUUGUUGUUUUUUUGUUGUUUUUUUUUUUGCCUUAACUAGAGCGAUUACAGCAGAAAAAAUAAGAUGGAAGAACAUUCAUUUCUCCUCUAAGAGCUUUAUGAAAAAGACGUAAAAUAACGUGAAAAAAGCUACUCUUAUUUACGUUACAUAUUUAUGGCCUCAUCUGUCACUGACGGUGUCGAAUAUAAUGCGAGCACAAGUACCCGAGUCUGUGGUUCAGUGGUUCUGAAGAAGUUCGAAAUUAAACCUCUUAAGCUCCAGCCAGACCAAGCUCCAAGCCAACCAGAUUAAGAGCGAAGCAUGGCAUUAGACGAGUGUAAACUUCUAGUUAUGUCAAAUGUGUGCGUCGAAACUUAGAUUUCGUGCUUUCGUUCUAUCACACUCUAUCGUGACUGAAUAGUGCAUAUAAGUGAAACGUCGUCUCAAAUAAUAUAUUGGGUUGUCUAAAUACUGUUGACGGUCUUUCUAGGCAGAUGCAUUUAAAGUUACGUAUCUUAGCUAAUAUAACUCGUGUCGAAUUAUAUCAUCUAGAAGCUGAAACCUAGCAGUGUCUGGUGGAUACGCUACAAUUAUUAGACCUUUCCCCAUGCCUAAGAUAGGGCGUCUUGAAGAAGAUGAGCAAAAUUUCCAUUUUUUAAUUGUUAUAUUUUACAAUCAUAUUUUAUCAGAAGAUAUAGAUCGAAAAUCGUUUUUGUUCUGGGAAUUUUGAUACAAAAACACUCCUCUUUCGGUGGUCGAUCGACGAGUUGCAGGAGAAACUAACGGAAGGAUUAUAAGAGCGGCAGGUGGUUAGUUACGAUAUCGCCAAAGACUAGACAACGCGACGAAAUCGAGCCGUUCUUAAAUAAUUCAUGAAAACUGGAUAGCAUAGAACAAAAAUGUACAAAUGAAGAAUAAAACGUUCCACAAUCGUUAUUGAUGUCAAAAUGCCGUGUGUUCGGGGAAACUAAAAAGGAAUCACGCAUUAUAAACAGCUGCCGUCUGGCAAAACGACGGAUUCGGACCUCUAGUGCCUACCUUUAGCUAAAUCGGGAUAGAAGAUUUUCCCGUGUAGUCCGGAUCUUGCACCAUCAGAAUAUCAUCUGUUAUUAUUUUGGUGCGUGUAGCACACUGUUAACAGUGUUCAU